UAGUUUUGUCCUAAAAACUUCUCUAACUUCAACCAAAUUUAUAGAAAAAUAUAUUAACAUCUACAAUACCAAAAAAAAAUGCACUGUCAAUUUCAUGGUGGAUUUAAUGAAACUAAUUUGUUAUUGUAGAUGUUGGUGCAUUCUUCUAUAAACUUGAUCAAAAUUAGAGAAGUUUGAGUUGGGACAAAACUAA
rnacentral:pre_miRNA from 1 species